rnacentral:rRNA from 1 species
UAAUACAGAGGUGCCGAGCGUUAGGCGGAAUCACUGGGCUUAAAGCGCGUGUAGGUGGAUCGUUAAGUGUCUUGUGAAAUCCCACGGCUCAACCGUGGAACUGCUGGGCAUACUGACGAUCUUGAGGCACUCAGGGGCUGUCGGAACAAAUGGUGGAGCGGUGAAAUGCGUAGAUAUCAUUUGGAACGCCAAUGGUGAAAACAGACAGCUGGGGGUGUCCUGACACUGAGACGCGAAAGCCAGGGGAGCAAACGGGAUUAGAUACCCCGGUAGUCCUGGCCCUAAACGAUGUCCACUAGAUUAUGGCGACUCUGACGUCGUCAUGGUCGGAGCAAAAGUGUUAAGUGGACCGCCUGGGAAGUACGGUCGCAAGGCUA